rnacentral:rRNA from 1 species
CCUACGGGAGGCAGCAGUGAGGAAUAUUGGUCAAUGGACGAGAGUCUGAACCAGCCAAGUAGCGUGAAGGAUGACUGCCCUAUGGGUUGUAAACUUCUUUUAUAUGGGAAUAAAAUGUUCCACGUGUGGGAUUUUGUAUGUACCAUAUGAAUAAGGAUCGGCUAACUCCGUGCCAGCAGCCGCGGUAAUACGGAGGAUCCGAGCGUUAUCCGGAUUUAUUGGGUUUAAAGGGAGCGUAGGUGGAUUGUUAAGUCAGUUGUGAAAGUUUGCGGCUCAACCGUAAAAUUGCAGUUGAAACUGGCAGUCUUGAGUACAGUAGCGGUGGGCGGAAUUCGUGGUGUAGCGGUGAAAUGCGUAGAGAUCACGAAGAACUCCGAUUGCGAAGGCAGUUCACUGGACUGCAACUGACACUGAGGCUCGAAAGCGUGGGUAUCGAACAGGAUUAGAUACCCUAGUAGUC